AUGUCCUGUUCCUUGCUGUGGAAUCCUGCAAUGGCUCCAGGCAGCAGGUGUGACAGGCGGGCCUGUAGCCAGGGACCGCGUGCCUGGAUACGCACUAGCAGUUCCGGGAAGCAGGGAGCUCUCCAGAACCUGGAUCAUCACCUCACCCACGGAAGGAGAGUCACCCAAAGACACCACCGGCCGGGUAUCUGCCCCAAUGUCCCCGAUGUGCAUUUGGUGAUGUUCCUGGAGUGCGGGGCGCGAGUCCACCUGAGCUCCUCUGGCCUUGGCCUUUGCCUGUUGAUGGAGAAAGAAGUGAGGACAGCCCCGUGUCUCCAGUCACCAGCAGAUCCCUGCCAGCCUGUCCCGUGUUUCUGAAGCUCCAGGCAGAGCCACACGGUGUCGCCUUGUCCUGAUAAAUGACAGAAGUGAUUGUCAGUACAGAGCCGUCUGUGUCUCAUUUGGCCUCUGGUUUCACCUUCGUCUCGCGAUGACUCUCCCGCGUCUCUGUGCUGACUUCUCUCAUUUUCCUGCUGUUGGAACUUCCCCACCUCCCGGUGGUGUUUCUUCCCGGUAGACACUGCGGUGCUGUGUUCUGGCUUUGGCCAGUGGCACAGUCCUCUGCUCCGUCUUCUGUGCCUCCCCGCCGCCUGCUGUGUCUUUGCUCUGCUGCUCCGCGGUUCCCAAUCACCCUCAUCCUGGAUCUCUAGUGACAGGAAGGUGUUGGAAGCUUUGUCUUCUCCCAGUGGGGACGGUUCUGUAGGAUGUCUCCCCUCUCACAGUGGGGUUUCUGGCUCAAAGAAGGUGUGUCCAACUUUGAUAGCUGUGGUCAUAUUGUCGCUAAUUCUGAAAUUGGGAAUUGUUGAUUUUUCCUUAAUUUUUGCCAAUCGGACGGUUGGAAAUAGCCUUCCUUAUGGCUUUAAUAAGCCUUUCUCUGCUGCUGAGCUUAAGCACAUGUGCGUAUUUUUACCGGCCAUUUGAAUUUUCCUCCACUGGAUUCUUCUCUGUAGUCUUUGCGCGCUGCUAGCUUUGGGAGCCAGCCCAGCGUGUGGACCCCCAGCAGAGUCCUCGGCGGGAGACCUUGUCUUGCCUGUGACACCCCUCGUCAGAGCUGUGGGCGGGGGCAGGCCGAGAUGGCUCGGCCCUGCAGUGUGGCCCCUUGGCGCCCACACAGGAAGGGGGGUAACACAGCCUGUGCCAAGCGCUUGGAGAGUAUCGUCCCAGUGACAGAGAAAGCCCUCACUUCCUGCCAGGCCUGGAGCCCCUCCUUGUAUGUCUCCCAGAAGUUUCAGGAGGUGGCAUGUGGGUCUCACUCCCACUAGGGAGAUAGAUUUAUGGGGUUGCCCCUGUUCUCACUCACGAUGAGGUCCUGGGAGUG
rnacentral:lncRNA from 1 species